UACGAAGGGGGCUAGCGUUGCUCGGAAUUACUGGGCGUAAAGCGCACGUAGGCGGCUUUCUAAGUCGGGGGUGAAAUCCUGGAGCUCAACUCCAGAACUGCCUUCGAUACUGGAAGCUCGAGUCCGGGAGAGGUGAGUGGAACUGCGAGUGUAGAGGUGAAAUUCGUAGAUAUUCGCAAGAACACCAGUGGCGAAGGCGGCGAUCUGGCAGAUACUGACGCUGAGGUGCGAAAGGCGUGGGGAGCGAACAGGAUUCAGAUACC
rnacentral:rRNA from 1 species